AGAAUGCAGAAUGACGUCAAGAUGGCAGCAGAGUUCAGAAGAAAUUAUGCUCAUGUGUUUGAUGGGCUCUUACGUGUCUGUAAGGAAGAGGGGCUGAGGAAACUGUUUUCUGGUGCUUCAAUGGCUUCUUCGAGAGGUGCACUGGUGUCUGUUGGACAG